rnacentral:lncRNA from 1 species
CUUCCUUUUUUUUAAAUGUUUGUUUUGUUUUUUUAUUGCAUCAUUCCAUAAAGAAAAAAAAAGAUAAAUUCAACUAAAACAAACACACAUAAAAUAAAAUAGUAUAUCAUGAAUAAAUGCAAAAUAACAGUAGAGGAAAUAGAGAGUGAGAGGUUAACACAAGUUAGGGAGAGAUGAAAAUAUAACACAAAUGUGCAGUCUCUCAGAUCAUAAAUCAUUGAUCCAGUUGUGCCCUGACUUGGCUUUAAGCUUCCUGGUGUUCAAAAUAAAGACAGUCAAUUAUAGUUUGAUGAGGAGAAAACAUGCUGUUUUCCUAGUUCAAGUACUAAAAAAAGCAUAUGGAUCUUUUCUAAGAGACUUAAAUACAAUCCCUACAGUAAUUACCAUAAUAUAUCUCAUAAGACUGCUUCUCCUGCUACCCCUCAACAAAAACUAAGAUCAAAACCUCCCAAAUUAAACUCAGUGAAGUGCUUUCUACAUGUGGUCAAAAUAGUUAUGGUUAAACUACAAAGAGUUUUUUGAUGGUCAAGCUGGAUCAAAAGAAAAAUGUGUAAUAUAUUUUAGGUGAUAAAAAGAUGAGAUACUACAGUGAGUACCUCAAGUGUAGAAAUAACAUUAAACUCUUCCACAUAGUGAAAGGCCGAAUUAGAGGAAUCUGUGUGCUUAGGCAGAGAAACGACAGGUAACUUCAAUGUGAGUGGAUACAUCAUAGGUAUUCCAAAUCGCAUCUAUAAAAUAAGGAUGCUGGGGCAUAGGAACAAUCGAAGAGAAGAAUCUGGGAUCUUUUCCCAUUGAUCACAUUUUCUCAAAGAAUUUUCCUUGGCAUACUAAUGUCAUGUGAUGAGGUCUGAAAAUGGUUCCAGUGUCAAAUAAGUUUGGAAAAUAUUGCAUACCAGUUCCCUCUCUUGAAAAAUUAUGACACCACCCCCCAACACACAGUAACAUAUUACAGAUCUGUAAUAAAGGAAUCUGAUUAGCUUUUCUUUGCCUAGUGUUUCCUAAACUUAUUUGAUCAUCACAUCCACAUGUUUGCAUUUGAUGUGACUAACAUUCUAUAAAACAUCCCUGAAAAAAUCUUGUAGUUUCUGACAACACUGACUCAAUGUGCUAUUAAGAUUAAAAUCAAUUUAAAAAAUGUCAUUGUGAAGAAUGUUCUAGAAAACAAAACAAUAGGCAUUAACUCAUAGCUCUUGCACACCCAUAGCCAGAAUAAGAUUCUGGUAUUCAAACCAGUAUAAAAUGGAAGUAUGGCUUCCUCAAAACCCCAAAAGACGAAUGAAAAUGUAUAUAGUGGAUGUUUAUAACAUGCAAGGGAAUCAGAAAUCAAAAUUCUUUUCUGUACUAUAUAAUCUGUUUGAUAAGGUUAUUUUUAAAUGAAUUUCCAUAUGCCGUGGUUUGUGAAUUUAAGGAAAAUAGGGAAAUCUCUUAUCUUGGUGUUCUCAUCUCUUUUGCCUUUAAAGUGAGGUAUUCUUGUAAUUUUUUAAAAGUCCAAUUUGCAGUUUAGAACUUUUCUUUGAUAGCUGCACAAAUGUAAGACUAAAUUUAGUAAAUGACCCUUGUGAACACAUUAAUUUUCUAGGAAAGGUGAAAUCCUGUCAAGAGCAAAGAACCAUGUUGAAUAUCCUACCUGAAAUGAAUGUUCAGUGGGAGACAUUUAGUUUCAUAUCUCCUUUGAAGGAAGGAGAGAAACCUUUUCAAAGACAGGUCAGCCCAAUGGCCAAAUCAUUCUCAAAACUAGUUAUAUUAAUUUAUUGGACAAAUGAGGUACACUUUAGAUAAAAUAAGCAUUAACUCACAUUCCAGCUUCAGUUUCUUCAACUAUAAGAAAUCCUCAAUAGUCUGUCCUCAACAAAUUCCACACAAGUAUUCCUGCUUUACUGUCUGAGGAUUAAUCCACAGAGUAGCAUAUGAGCUACAAGGGAACUUUGAAUUGCUUGAUAUAUGUAGUUAAAACAGUGAUUCAGUGAUUGUUGUAUGCUAUUAAAGACCAACCUGAGAUAUUUUUUAAAAAAUUUUGAACUUGGAGGUCAGAUGACUUAUCACCGUUUUGAUGCUAUGAGUUACUGGCUGUGUGGUGUUGUGUAAUCUUUUCUGAUGUUUGUUUUCCUCAAAAACUCACCUUAUUGUGUAGUAGUUGGAAUCAGUUCUGAUUGCGGAUGUGAAAUUGGUAUGCAACUAAAGCACUGAACAGCUAUAUGCUACAACGUGUUCAGAAAAAAAAAAAAAGCUUUCUGACAGUUCUGGGUCACUUAUUCUCUUUUAUUGAUGUUUGUUUAGCCCCUACUGUGUGAUAAUGUCAUGGUCAGUAAAAACAUAUUUUUUCCAGUAUGCAAGCACCUUAGAUGCAUAGUUGUAACAGCAUCCUUAAAUUAGCUUCAUUAAUUUUAAAGUAAGAACAAACAUUUAAAGAUGUCUAACUAACAUGGCUUGAGUAAUAUCUAAUUUACUACACUAGAGUAGAGCCAUUUUCCUCCUAUGAAUCAUGCCAAUUUUGUUAUUUGCAAAGAUCAGACACAUUUAUCAGGAUUCUUCUUCAGAAACACAUGCAGGGCUGUAAGCAAUAUAUUUCCUGGCUUCUGACAUGAGCUAACCAUCUGGAAAAGGCAAAUCUGUAAUGCAACUGCAUGUUUGUUGGCCAUGUUCUCCACAUUUCUUUGCAAUGCCAAGGCGAGGCUGGAGCUCAUCAGGCACCAUUAUCAUCUGAUUUUGCAGAGGAAGAUGGGUCUGCGGGUGGAGAGGAGGGAUGGGAAAUGCUGCCAGUCCUUCCUGGCCUCUCCUAAAGAAUGACCAGAGAGAAAGGUACAGAGAACAGCUCUUCCCCUCUUCUUGAAUUAUGAUUAUAAUAUAGGAUUAAGAAUACAUAUCUUCUUAGCAAAUACCUCCCUUGCCUUCUUAAAAUCUAUAACCACUGUAUGAGUUUCCUAUUGAUGUUGUUACAAAUUACCACAAACCUAGUGGCUUAAAACAACAUAAAUUACUUAUCUUACAUAUCUUUAACUCUCUGUCUCUUUUUUCUCUUUCUUGUUCUCCUCUCUCCUUUUUUUUUUGUCGCAUCUCCUCUUCUGCCUCUGACCCUCCUGCUUUCUUAUAAGGACUCUUGUGAUUGCAUUGGGUCCACUAGGGUAAUCGAGGAUAACCUCACUCUCAAGGUUCUUACCUCAGUAGCAUCUAUGCAGAUCCUCUUGCCAUCCAUUUGGGAGAUUAGAAUAUGCACAUCUUUGGGGGGGUAUUUUUAUCUAUUACAACCAUCUUGGUUGUUUUGAUUGCUUUUUAUACAAUUGAAGUUUAGUUGAUUUACAAUGCUGUGCUUGAUUGCUUUUUUUAAAAGUUUCAUUGUGUGUAAAAUUGAGAUGGUUAUAUUCACCUUCUCAAUGUAGAGUCAGUGAGAUAGGCUGGUUUAAGCACCACGGCAAGGUGCUGCCCUGGUGACUUACAGGAUUUACUUUUCAUACGUGCUCUUAAUUAGGAGAUACAAAGUUUAGGUUCUGUACCCAUUACUGCCUGUGUUACCUGCACAGGCAAUGUUGCCUCUU